rnacentral:rRNA from 1 species
CCAGAGGAAGGCUCGUCCGCUCUGGGUUAGUCGGGUCCUAAGCUGAGGCCGACAGGCGUAGGCGAUGGAUAACAGGUUGAUAUUCCUGUACCACCUAUAAUCGUUUUAAUCGAUGGGGGGACGCAGUAGGAUAGGCGAAGCGUGCGAUUGGAUUGCACGUCUAAGCAGUAAGGCUGAGUAUUAGGCAAAUCCGGUACUCAUUAAGGCUGAGCUGUGAUGGGGAGAAGACAUUGUGUCUUCGAGUCGUUGAUUUCACACUGCCGAGAAAAGCCUCUAGAUAGAAAAUAGGUGCCCGUACCGCAAACCGACACAGGUAGUCAAGAUGAGAAUUCUAAGGUGAGCGAGCGAACUCUCGUUAAGGAACUCGGCAAAAUGACCCCGUAACUUCGGGAGAAGGGGUGCUCUUUAGGGUUAACGCCCAGAAGAGCCGCAGUGAAUAGGCCCAAGCGACUGUUUAUCAAAAACACAGGUCUCUGCUAAACCGUAAGGUGAUGUAUAGGGGCUGACGCCUGCCCGGUGCUGGAAGGUUAAGAGGAGUGGUUAGCUUCUGCGAAGCUACGAAUCGAAGCCCCAGUAAACGGCGGCCGUAACUAUAACGGUCCUAAGGUAGCGAAAUUCCUUGUCGGGUAAGUUCCGACCCGCACGAAAGGCGUAACGAUUUGGGCACUGUCUCAACGAGAGACUCGGUGAAAUCAUAGUACCUGUGAAGAUGCAGGUUACCCGCGACAGGACGGAAAGACCCCGUGGAGCUUUACUGUAGCCUGAUAUUGAAAUUCGGCACAGCUUGUACAGGAUAGGUAGGAGCCUUUGAAACGUGAGCGCUAGCUUACGUGGAGGCGCUGGUGGGAUACUACCCUAGCUGUGUUGGCUUUCUAACCCGCACCACUUAUCGUGGUGGGAGACAGUGUCAGGCGGGCAGUUUGACUGGGGCGGUCGCCUCCUAAAAGGUAACGGAGGCGCUCAAAGGUUCCCUCAGAAUGGUUGGAAAUCAUUCAUAGAGUGUAAAGGCAUAAGGGAGCUUGACUGCGAGACCUACAAGUCGAGCAGGGUCGAAAGACGGACUUAGUGAUCCGGUGGUUCCGCAUGGAAGGGCCAUCGCUCAACGGAUAAAAGCUACCCCGGGGAUAACAGGCUUAUCUCCCCCAAGAGUUCACAUCGACGGGGAGGUUUGGCACCUCGAUGUCGGCUCAUCGCAUCCUGGGGCUGUAGUCGGUCCCAAGGGUUGGGCUGUUCGCCCAUUAAAGCGGUACGCGAGCUGGGUUCAGAACGUCGUGAGACAGUUCGGUCCCUAUCCGUCGUGGGCGUAGGAAAUUUGAGAGGAGCUGUCCUUAGUACGAGAGGACCGGGAUGGACAUACCUCUGGUGUACCAGUUGUCGUGCCAACGGCAUAGCUGGGUAGCUAUGUGUGGACGGGAUAAGUGCUGAAAGCAUCUAAGCAUGAAGCCCCCCUCAAGAUGAGAUUUCCCAACUUCGGUUAUAAGAUCCCUCAAAGAUGAUGAGGUUAAUAGGUUCGAGGUGGAAGCAUGGUGACAUGUGGAGCUGACGAAUACUAA